GACGAACGCUGGCGGCGUGCCUAAUACAUGCAAGUCGAACGCAGUGGGGACGGUUGAGUAACACGUGGGUAACCUCCCAUCAGAGGGGAUAACACUUGGAAACAGGUGCUAAACCGACACUUCUUUAUGUACCCGCGGUGCAUUAGCUAGUUGGUGAGGUAACGGCUUACCAAGGCCACGAUGCAUAGCGGACCUGAGAGGGUGAUCGGCCACACUGGGACUGAGAAACGGCCCAGACUCCUACGGGAGGCAGCAGUAGGGAAUCUUCGGCAAUGGACGAAAGUCUGACCGAGCAACGCCGCGUGAGUGAAGAAGGUUUUCGGAUCGUAAAACUCUGUGGUUAGAGAAGCGGUAUCUAACCAGAAAGCCACGGCUAACUACGUGCCAGCAGCCGCGGUAAUUC
rnacentral:rRNA from 1 species